GAGUCAUUGACAAGACAUAAAUAUGUAUAGAAGAGGAUGACAAAAAAAUUAGGCUCAAUUGCAUUAUGUUGAGGCCC